AAGUGAUUCUGCGCCGACAAUUCAGCGGGCUCAAGCACACCGCCGAAGCCGUGGCAUCCGCGCACACCCCAGCAUCCCUCGAGGGGUGUUCAGGGGCGCGGGUGGGUAGGGGAGCGUCGUGUGGGAGGUGAAGCUGCGGGGUGACCCAGUGGUGGAUCCCACACGAGUGAGAAUGCAGGCAUGAGUAGCGAAUGACGGGUGAGAAACCCGUCCGCCGAAUGACCAAGGGUUCCAGGGCCAGGUUAAUCCGCCCUGGGUAAGUCGGGACCUAAGGCGAGGCCGACAGGCGUAGUCGAUGGACAACGGGUUGAUAUUCCCGUACCGGCGAAGGACCGACCAUGCCGACCCCGGUGAUGCUGACCACCCAACGUCUCGUGGGUUCCUUCGGGAACCGGCGGGACGCGCGUGGGACCGAUCCGGCAGUAGGCAAGCGUGUUAACAGGGGUGACGCAGACAGGUAGCCACCGCG
rnacentral:ncRNA from 1 species